UGACUGUAUAAUCUUAAUCCUACACUUUAUUAUUUAUUGUGUAGAUCACAUCGGAUGAUAAUGCUGAUCUUGAACAUUUCCAAGAUAUCCUUCAAUACUUGUUAGAUCCUGCCAAAACACAUGAGAGGAAAUGGCAAGACGUAUUCAAAUUUAUACACAAAAUUGUUCUAAACAAUCAACAAUGGAUGACAUAUCCCGGAUCUUUGAUAAGUGCGCCUUAUAAAGAAAGUGUGAGAUGGUUAGUGUACUUUCAAUGUUUCAAUAUAUGUAUCAUCGAAGCAGUUGGAUGUGUUACGUUCGACACUAACGAGCAAAGGGCAUAAACACCUGGAUCAUAGAAGACCAGUAUAUGAUGUCAGAGGUGAUAAUUCGACCUAUGUUGGUGCGAAAGGGAUCACAUGUAUCAGUAGGCACAAAAUAUUUAAAAAAUGUACAUAUACUAAUUAUUAUGUAAACUUUGAAUGAAAUUCUGUGAUAAGCAUAGUGAGUAAAGUAAAUUAUUGGUGA